GCUGCCGCACUGGACUCCCAGACCUCGGCACCAACCGUAUCUCCUGUUACUCGCCCCAGGGUGGUUGCCCGGGGAAAAACUCCAAGGGUUUCACUGGCUGGCCUGGAAACCCUUUCAUCUUUGCUCCAUCAGCAGCAGCUCUUUGAUUGAGUUCUCCUGGCUUUAGAGCCUCCCACUAUGGUCAUGCUGCAAAUUCCCGUGGCCAGCACCCGAGGCCUGCUGGCUCCGAUCUGGGCCACGUGUACAACCAGUUAGGUCUACAAGCCAGGUUCAAGGCCACCAACUGAGGCACCUGUCCCGAGACAGGACCAUUCUAAUCUGCCCUGAAAAGGACAUCCCAUUGAUCAUACUAAAUUUGUGGAUGGAUACCUAUCUGUUGACCAGACCCUCCCUCUUCAAUGAAAACUGCCUCUCCUUCCACUCCAUCUGUGAGGCACCCUUGGAUGCUGACAUGUGCUUACAUAGGACUUCCUGUCCACAGCCAGAAUUAGCCAGAAUUCACUGACCCAUGGUUGGACUCCUAAAAUACUCAAGAUGAGAGACAUGUUACUUUUCUUUACUAUAGUAACUAUCAAAUGCAUCCCAUAACCUUAUGUUGUAAAUGUCAAAUAUGCACAAUAAAAUUUAUUUGAAAAAAUAAA
ensembl:lncRNA novel transcript